AGUCACUUUGUGGUAAAUGUAUUGAAUUUAAUUUUAUUUUUUUCUUUUUAUAGGAAAAUAUGAGAGCCACACACGUGUUCACACAGGUGAGAAGCCCUUUGAGUGUGAUAUUUGUCACCAGCGAUAUUCGACAAAGUCUAACCUAACUGUUCACAAAAAGAAGCACAGUAAUGAAACAGAAUUUCAUAAGAAGGAGCACAAGUGCCCUUAUUGUAAUAAACUUCAUGCAAGCAAGAAGACUUUAGCCAAGCAUGUUAAGAGAUUUCAUCCUGAAAAUGCUCAAGAAUUUAUUUCCAUUAAGAAGACCAAGAGUGAAAGUUGGAAAUGUGAUAUUUGUAAGAAAUCGUUUACUCGAAGGCCACACUUAGAAGAACAUAUGAUUCUACACUCUCAAGAUAAACCUUUUAAGUGUACAUAUUGUGAAGAACAUUUCAAAUCACGAUUUGCACGCUUAAAGCAUCAAGAAAAGUUCCAUCUGGGUAAGCAAAUUACUUUUUCUAAAAACAGUCA